CGCCUCUUGAAAAAUAUAAGAGGUCCAGCCUGCCCAGUGACUCUGUUCAACGGCCGCGGUAUCCUAACCGUGCGAAGGUAGCGUAAUCACUUGUUCUUUAAAUGAGGACUAGUAUGAAAGGCAUCACGAGGGUUAUACUGUCUCCUUUUUCUAAUUAGUGAAACUAAUCUCCCCGUGAAGAAGCGAGGAUUAUUUUAUAAGACGAGAAGACCCUAUGGAGCUUUAAAUAAUAUAACAAUUGCUACCUUAUUUUUAUUAACCUCGUAACAUCUAGCAAUAUGAUUAUUAAUUUUUGGUUGGGGUGACCGCGGAGCAUAACAUAACCUCCACAUUGAAAGGAUAAUACUCCUAAGCUAAAAGCAACAACUUUAAGCAUCAAUAAAUUGACAUUAAUUGACCCAAUAUAUUUGAUCAACGAACCAAGUUACCCUAGGGAUAACAGCGCAAUCUACUUUAAGAGCCCAUAUCGACAAGUAGGUUUACGACCUCGAUGUUGGAUCAGGGUAUCCCAGUGGUGCAGCCGCUACUAAUGGUUCGUUUGUUCAACGAUUAAAACCCU
rnacentral:rRNA from 1 species